rnacentral:lncRNA from 1 species
GGAACGUGUGCUUUGGGUUUCUCUUUUAGUGGAGGGCGUCGGUGGUGGGGUGGUGGUACUGUGGAGGACUGUCUGUUUCUGUCUAUAUGCAAUAGAAUACAAGCUUUAUCCCCACCUUUUCUUUUUUGACUUUGAAGUAUCUUAUAAUAUUUGACUUUGGCAAUGGAACUAAAUAGCAUGCAUUUCCCACUCUUUAUCAUUCUGUUCAU